rnacentral:misc_RNA from 1 species
GAGAAGAACGUAGCGAAAUGCGAUAAGUAGUGUGAAUUGCAGAAUUCAGUGAAUCAUCGAAUCUUUGAACGCACAUUGCGCCCGCCAGCACUCUGGCGGGCAUGCCUGUUCGAGCGUCAUUUCAACCAUCAAGCCCCCAGGGGCUUGUGCUGGGGCCCUGCGGCUGCCCGCAGGCCCUGAAAACCAGUGGCGGGCUCGCUAGUCACACCGAGCGCAGUAGCACAUCUCGCUCAGGGCGUGCGGCGGGCUCCUGCCGUGAAACCCCCCACUGUAACCCCAAAGGUUGACCUCGGAUCAGGUAGGAAUACCCGCUGAACUUAAGCAUAUCAAUAAGCGGAGGA